rnacentral:rRNA from 1 species
GAUGAACGCUGGCGGCGUGCCUAAUACAUGCAAGUCGAGCGAACAGACGAGGAGCUUGCUCCUCUGACGUUAGCGGCGGGCGGGUGAGUAACACGUGGAUAACCUACCUAUAAGACUGGGAUAACUUCGGGAAACCGGAGCUAAUACCGGAUAAUAUAUUGAACCGCAUGGUUCAAUAGUGAAAGACGGUUUUGCUGUCACUUAUAGAUGGAUCCGCGCCGCAUUAGCUAGUUGGUAAGGUAACGGCUUACCAAGGCGACGAUGCGUAGCCGACCUGAGAGGGGGAUCAGCCACACUGGAACUGAGACACGGUCCAGACUCCUACGGGAGGCAGCAGUAGGGAAUCUUCCGCAAUGGGCGAAAGCCUGACGGAGCAACGCCGCGUGAGUGAUGAAGGUCUUCGGAUCGUAAAACUCUGUUAUUAGGGAAGAACAAAUGUGUAAGUAACUAUGCACGUCUUGACGGUACCUAAUCAGAAAGCCACGGCUAACUACGUG